GCGCGCGGUCAAUGCGACAGCGCGCCGGUAUAUAUGUAGGGUGAGUCGAAGGAGAGGAGUCACAUCGUGUUCAACAGGCUCCUUCGGUACACACACACACACGCGCGCAACGCAGAACCAGCAAGAAAAUCUUGUGAAAAUCAAAAGAGAAAAAUGAAUAAGACUACAGCCGCUCUUCUCGUUCUCGUCGUGCUUGCCGUCAUCGGCAUGGCAGCCGCAGGAUACCGUGGUCGAAUCAGUGGUGGAUACAGGGGCGGAUACGGACUCGGUGGCUACAGUGGACGCGGAGGCUACGAUGUACGUCAUGGCUAACACGGCUAACGCUGCGCACGACGAUAUCGACUUGCUGUUAGUGUAAAGGUCUCUGAACGCUGAGCGCGAUAAUAGACCGUAGUAUAGAGAUCUAUGUACAUACAUGGAAUCGUAAUGGAGAUAGAUGCCUCCAAUUCAACCCUAAUACGGCGAUGCAAUGUCUUUCAUCAAUGCGCGAAUUGAUGAGCAUUUCAAUAAAUCGGAAAGCUAUAGGCCUAUAGAUGUAUUUCGGUAAAUGAAUUGAGUGUAUUCCUGAUUUGUACUUAUUCGCAUGUCUAUUGUAAAGAUGCUUUGUCAAGUUUCGAUGUACUGUAAUACACGAAAUAUUUCUAUUAAAUUAAAAAUCCUUUCUUCUAAGCAUAA